GUGUCGCGACGAACGCGAGCCUCAACAAAAUAGCAGUAGGAGGUAGAAGAGACUUUUCCCCGAUGGAACAAUGUUCGUAGGGGGAAUCAGUUGGACAGAAUAAAAGGAAGACCUGCGGGUGUAAAUCGGUGAGUGUUAGAAAUAUAGUUUCAUCAUUAUUUAGAUGAGAGAGAUGAAGGGAUAACUAAGAACGAGAA